GGUCGAGCCGCAGUGGCACAGCUGGGUAGUCACGUUUGGAAUAGAUAACCGCUGAAAGCAUCUAAGCGGGAAACUAACUUCAAGAUAAGUAUUCUUUAAGAUACCUUCGAGCCUAGGAGGUUGAUAGGUUGGGGGUGUAAGUACAGCAAUGUAUUUAGCUGACCAAUACUAAUUAUCGAAGUUUUAAUCUA
rnacentral:ncRNA from 1 species